CUUGCCUGCAAUGUUCAAACCAAAUUCCACAAAAAAUACGAAUAGAAGGAAAAGGUUGAAGAUCAAUGCCGUGCCCGAACCAUCAAAAUAUUUAUUAGAAAAUAAUGAAGAAAAAGAAAAUGUACAAAAAAGGCAGCUCGUGAUUAAAAAAGCAGAUGAUGAGAGAAGAAGAAGGUCAAAACGAAGACAAAUGACAUCAAUACCAUCACUAUCACUGCCAACAACAGCAAGUGAACGUGACGUAGUUUAUUGGUAUAGACGUUCUCUUUUCUUGGUGUCAAAAAUGACAUUGUGUAAAAAACACGUCUUUUACAACGAUGCAUAUUAUACGAUGCAUACAAACAUGA
rnacentral:misc_RNA from 1 species